GUGGGCUGUGUCUCAGUGGUAGAGUGAUCGCCUGGCACCUGUAAGGCACUGGGUUCAAUCUUCAGCACCACA
rnacentral:tRNA from 1 species